GAUUUAAAUUAAAUUUUUACCGCAGUACUGCUUUCGAACGGUAGGACGUAAUAGUAAAGUUUACUUCACUCACGGGAAAGUAUGAUUUAUAAUUUCCGAGGUAUAACGUUGUUAGACGUACUGCAGCUAACUGUAUGUAAUUUAAUUGUAAACAACUACUAGACAACGUCACGCUAAGAUUAAAAUUUGUGAUACACCAAAACGUAACGUGAGUGCUUUGCUUCCUUAUUACCGAAUGUACUAGAAAUCCAGAGAGACAUCGGGCCGUCAUCUAGGCGCCAUCAGAUCGUUAAAAUAUUAACCAGCGAUAAGAAAUGGAGCCGGAUGUGAUCCGUUCAGCAAUUCUCGAGAAGUUCUGUGAAUUUUCUGGAAACUUUUGGUCUGCUACAUAAACAAAUUGAAUUGUGUUCAAAAACAGUUCCAACAUCGAUGUAGAAGUAAGCCAAUUAGUUUCAAAGUGAGCAGGUUAUUUCAUCGAUAAGAAAUAACGAAGAUGUGAAUCGUGACUUGUUCGAUGAUGGACGUUAAACGUUGCUGGUUUCUUGGUGAAUUUGCCAUAUUUGAGCAUAUUAUUCCAAGAGAGUUCGGCUUGCCAGUCGUACAGUUCCUACAGAAGAAAGUUAGUAUUUUAUUCCCUCAUUUAAAGUAAAAUGCUUAAGUCGAGUUAAGCACAAUCGUGUUUUAGCUUUACGACGAAGUUUAGUCGAGUGUUAUGUUUAUCGAGCGUGUAUCGGAUAAGGAAGCAUUUCUUUAAGGUUAUUCCGGUACUCGCUAAAGGGAGUUUUUUCCACCAUAAAAGAACCAAUUUUACAUCUCUAAUUACAACGAACCCAGUGUCUAAAUAGAAAUUUAAGUGUAGUUGACUUUUGUUUGUGGAUCAUUUAAUGAAUAUCGUAGUUACGACCAGAUAUUUUGGAUUACUAAUACAUAACGUUUCAAUUGAUCGCUCAAUGUGAGGUAUAAUAUGUACCCUGGUCCUGAAUCCCUAUUUUAAUUUCAGCCUUAUUGAUUGAUUUCAUCUAAUAAAUUUGUUGUGUUUAAUUGAUCCCAAAU